AGACUUACCUGGAUGGAUGAUACCAUGAUCAAGGAUGUGAGGCUCUGUCAUUGCACUCUGACUGUUCUGAACCUUGAAAAUUCCCCAAAUGUGUGAAUCUCAACUGCACAAUUUGUGGUAGUGGGUGACUCCGUUUGUGCUCUCCCGUG
ensembl:snRNA U1 U1 spliceosomal RNA